rnacentral:rRNA from 1 species
CGUAGGUGGCAAGCGUUGUCCGGAUUUAUUGGGUUUAAAGGGUGCGUAGGCGGCGCCAUAAGUCAGUGCUGAAAUAUCCCGGCUUAACCGGGAGGGUGGCAUUGAUACUGUGGUGCUUGAGUGUAGUCGAGGUAGGCGGAAUUGACGGUGUAGCGGUGAAAUGCUUAGAUAUCGUCAAGAACACCGAUAGUGUAGACAGCUUACUAGGCUACAACUGACGCUGAGGCACGAAAGUGUGGGGAUCAAACAGGAUUAGAUACCCUGGUAGUCCACACUGUAAACGUUGAUUACUCGAUGUUGGCGAUACACAGUCAGCGUCUUAGCGCAAGCGAUAAGUAAUCCACCUGGGGAGUACGCCGGCAACGGUG